ACUCUUCUCAGUUUUUUAAGGUUAUUAAAAUGGUGCAAACAUAAUAAAAUAAAUUUGAUAUGAUGUUUUUACGAAAUAAAUCUAAUUGUUAGUUUAUAUUCCAGUUUCGAUAACAACAACUGCUUGUUUCUUCCUCUGGAAUUGUUUUACUGGAAUCUUCAUUGGAAUAACUCGGCCAGAUAUAUAAUGGAUCCGUUGUUAUUUAAUUCCCUGAUACGCUCACGAACGUUUCUUCGUAGCAGCGAAUUUAGAUCAAGUCGAUUGGAACAUCGCGUUGGCAUAAGGUAUACUUUCUGUACGCCACGGUAUUCUAAAUGGUCAAUUGCUCUUUUAAUGUUUGCAAGCGUUUGAUCUUCGGUUUGGUUUUCGGUGAGAUCGAAUUCACCAAAUGACAACAGUACGGUUGAUGGAAGUGUCUUUACGAAGAUAUUCAAAUUCAUUAGGAACGAGUUGAUUGUCAUUCUGUAUUGAGAAAGUUCAUUAUUUUCCCAAUAAGAUUGGGCGGCAUUGUACGAAUCCAGUGAUCGAUAUACUAGAUCAUGACUAGCUGCAUCGCCGAGUAUGAGGACACCGUUCAAGAAGUGGUCUUCGAUGUCUUGGCAUAAAUGGAUGUUUUUCGCAAUUAAUCCAUUCAAUAGUUCUACCAUGACUUCAGGAAGUCCUGUUUUCUUACGUAGGAUUGCAAUGAUAUCGCAUUUCGGGAUGGACCGGUGAUGAGUAAAUGUUUCGAUGACGGAAUUCUUUCGCAAUUCGAUGGUUACGGUUGGUUGUUCGUAAUUGGUGGUUCGUAUUUUCCAUGUCUGCUAAUUGUCGGUGUAGGCGAGCAAUCUGCCCUAUAUAAUUAGCUCUGGAUCCGCGUAAUAGAAGGUCUGCGUACACAAAUUUUACUUCUACGUAAUUUUGAGCCAGAAGUAGCGUUCCUGUGCAGUCUUGUUUUACGCAAUGGUAGACCACUAAAGCAUCGUGUUCAAGGUUUCCAUAGAGCAGGCUGGAACGGCAAAGUAGCUUGAUGGUUCAUAUACGUUCAUUCUGGAUUAUCUAUUGAGAAAAUAUCAUCAUGUGUUAAUCCAUGUGGUGUGAAUUCGAUUGAUUUAUCUGACGUUUGACGUUGACUUGCUUGCGAAUAUUUUACGGAAUAUGCACUAUAUUCACUGGAUAACUUUUGCGAAAACGAAAUUAUUACGUUGCUGAAUUAUACAGCAGUUUCUUUUCCGCGGAAUCGACGAUAAUGUCUAAUUGCCCACUCUGUGUGUGUUGAUUUUGUAUUUCGUAACAAUUUUUGCCUGCCCUCUUCACAAUCGCAUAUGGCCCAUUCUGUUUGACAUAAAGUUUAGCUGAAGCAAGUUUAUCUGCUGAUGAUUGACGAUGAUUCGUAAUCAUCACCAGUUCACCAGAUGGAUUAAUGCCUGGUGGUAUGACAUUAAGUCUAUUCGAGCCGUGUCAACUUCUUCCGUAUAUACAGCCUUUCUUGCAAGUUGAUCCGCAGUGAAGUUUCCGUAAUCAGUUUUUCGAGCAUAGGUUUUCCGGAAUUAUUUUUCCAUUUGUUUUCUACCCAUCGAUCACAUUCAGAGUUGAUUGCUAACGUGACAUAUUGAGAAUCCGUGAAAAUCAUUAGUUUCGUAACUCCAUGGAAAUGUUCUUCGAUCCUUCCGGAUGCCAACAGAUUCCGAUACCAGCAAUUGCAUCUUCGUCACCGUUGUUUGCGCAAGCUCCAUCUACCCAAACCCAUACGUGGCCAUCGGAUGCUGUAUAGACGUCGUUUAGCAUAUCUAAUUUCGUAGAUUUAAGUUCUUCUAUCGUGAGAGAUGGUCCGGUAUCUUUAACGCCAUCGGGUAAAGAGUAGAAUCUGCGAGCGGUGUCAGCUCGGUUCAAAAUGGCAUACAUUUCGUCAACAUAUUGCGAUCCCAUCGUAACGUUGUUAAUUGCAAGUUUGUCUGCAUAUUCGUGGAAUUGUAGAAUUGGGAUACUUUCGAUGUCGUGUUCGGGGGUACGAUUAUAUAUUCUGAGGUGGUUACCACUUGUUUGUUCGCCAUCAUGCAUUGAACUGGUUCGUGUAAUUCUAAAAAGUCAAGCUCGCUUGAAUGUUCCCGUAUCAAUCUUAGCGCUGUUUCUUCAGAUAUAACGUUAAGGACUGCCCCAGUGUCAAGUUGAGUUGGGAAGUCCGUUUCACCAAUUUGGAGAUUGACUACGCACGUUUGUGGCAUCAUCCGUCGCUGUAUUAAUUGGGAAACUACCGAAGGAGUUUCAUCGUUGCUCAGAGUUGAAUUUUUUAUUAAAUCAGGUUCGUAAUAAGGACUGUUCGUAAAUAUUUGGUUGAUUGUGCAAGUAGCAUAAUCUUCCAUCUGAUUGAUAACUUUCUCUAACCCAUUUGCUCCAGGGUAUUCUCUCGCACUCAAGUAAUCUCGUAAAAAUAGUUGAUAGGCUCGAUAAACGAAUGAAGAUAGUAAAUCUUUCUUGUUCACGGUGUAAUAGUCAAAUUUGGUUGUAUGCCUACUGAGUGCUACUAUCGCAUGGGGCAAGCUAUCAUAGAUCGAUAAGUGUUCUUUCUGCAGUCUUACUACUAUUAUAUAAUCAUUUUGUUUGCCUUGAAACUCGUGAAUUGUGUUCACGCAAAACUUUUCUUUUUCCAGCGCAGCUUUCUCUUGCUGUGUGUACACCAGGUACUGAGCUCCUGCUACUCGUGGUAAUUGAUCGAGGUUUACGAAAUCAUGUAGUGACAUUUCAGAAUGUACUUUUGACGUGGUAGUCAUCCCUCUAUCAUACAUAUCGGAUAAUACUGCACAGGUGGUUAACGUGCAACGAUGUGAAACAGUUGCGUAAUUUACAUAAACGAGUACGAAAAUCUUUACAUCCUUCCUUCGUUGGAAAUAAUACCAAAUCUGACCCAUCAGUGUUUACGUGUUUGAGUACAAAUCCAGGUCACUUAAUAUUUUGGUAUCUUUGGUAACAAUAAGCAUAUCUGAAGAUAAAUUCGAAGCAUCUUCCACCUCAGAAGUUUGAAUCAAUUUGUUUCCAUCAUGUGCAUACUUGUGAUUAGGAACUAUAUCGUUUGGCAAUUUCGUAUGGAUAGCCUUAGUUCUAUGAUGAAUUGACAUAUAGGUGUGGUACCAGAUUGCAAGCUGUUCCUUCGCAGCGUUGUACGCAAUUUCCUCUUUCGAAAUAGCUUCAAUUUUUGGUGGUCGGAAAUCAAUUACAAUGGAAUCAAGGUGCCAACAUCGAGGUGUUUUCCGUACGGUCUAGUAGAUCAGUUUCAUCGAAUACUGUAUUACGUAAAGUUUCGGACUUCUCCAACUCAUUAGCAAUAACAUUUUUAAUGUUGUUUAGCUUGUGUUGGGCAGCUUCUUCCGUUUCAUCUAGUGUUGGGGGAGGCGGUAUUUCCUCUGGCAUUUUGAUUUUACGGUUAUCCAACGGAGGAGAUUUAGCACUUUUCGGGUGGCUGUCUAACACGAUGUUUACAAACGUUUCGAUGAAUCUUUCUUUCAUUGCAUUAUUUGGUAAAUAGUUGCCAGCAUUAUUUGCAUAAAAUUUCUUAAAAUCAGGUACUACAUUAUGAUGGCGGUCUUCCUUUAUUACAUACUGAGACUUAAUUUUAGGAUGAGGUUUUAAACAGGUGAAUAUCAGCGAUGGUUCAAUCACUAAGCGGAGGUUGUGUUUUUUUGAUAAAGCAUAGAAGAUUCUUUGAAAAGCAUACCAUCGAGUGACUGGAACAUGGUUACGUUGAUCUUUCGUAGGUAAUACUAGCGGGAAAGCUAAGAUUAUGUCCUCGAAUCCUUUUUCAAUCAAUUCUAAGAUAAUUGCAUCAGCAUAUUUAAUGAAUUGUUGGUAGUCAACGUAGUUGCUGUUAAGUUCUUUUUGACCGAAAGAUAUAACGGCGUGAUAACGGUGUUUGAAUCGUGUUUUACGUAAUGCUUGGAGUAAGCUAUAUGCAGAUACAUUAUCAAUUAGACAUAGUCGGUCAGUUUCGCAGUUUGCUAUGUCGAACAGAUAAGAGGCCAAAGUGUCGCCUAUCAUUUGGUAUUCAGUAAUCGGGAACUUUGACCUAUAUACUUCGACGGAGUUUAAAUAUUCAACAACUGUUCUGCCUCCUCCUCGUCUUCGUCUGGAGGUAUUGAAAUCUCUAGACCAUCCUCGUUUUUUGAAUCCUCAUCUUGUUGUUGUGUGAAAUCUACUAGGAUGUUGUUCAAUGCUCCUGCAUAUAAUGCUUGUAAUUGUUCUUGAGUUAAAGAAUUCAAAAGUGGUUGUUGUUUCUGAUAAUUUCCACGUUGGCCAGAUGAAGUGCCUGCCCCAGCGUUCGUAUCCUGUGUUGAAGUUCCAUUGUUUUGUUUUCCUUUCCCACUAUUUUCUAGACUCUGGUUUAGAUUUCUACCUCGCGGGUUGUUGCGACCAUUAUUUUGGUACCGGCCAGCUGGGGUAGAUUGAAAAGGUGUGGCGUUGGGCCUCGGGGUACUAUUCAUCGGUACAGAGCGUUUCGUGAGCUCCUUAAUUCGCGCACCUAAAUUCUGGAUGUUUUUAGUUACGCCCAAAUCAAAAUGAUGUUUCAUAUCGUCGUCUAUUUUCAAUUGAAUAGUAGAAAUUAUAGUACAAUCGGGAAAUUCUGCAUCACAUAAUGUCUUGAACCAUUUUUGUAGUUCAAAAGCCCAUUUAAUCGAAUUUACUUUCGUAAGUUGUGUCAUGAUGAAGUACAUCUUGGCAUUCUCUUGUUGAGUAGUAUUCCAUAAUGUUUGAAUGAAUGAUGUUCUUAAAUUGUAAUAAGUCUUGAUCUCGCCGUUAAGGCCCAUUAAGCUUUCCUUCCAAUUUUUUCCUGCAUCGCUUAGUACUAAUGCCUUGAAAAAUUCGACGUAUUGAGCUUCUGAAGCUCCUUUAGUAGACAUGGCUCCUUCGAACUCAUAAAUAAAUUGCAUGACAUGAUAAAGGUUUGAAUUAAUAUGUUUGAUGCCUUGAUCCGAAAGUUGUUUUGUCUUGAUGUAAUUAUUGGGUUCUUUAGAAAAAUAUAAGUCAUAUCUGAGUAUACGUUGUCUACGUGGUACAUUGAUGGGUAUAUAUUGGUGUCGAUUUCCUAAUUGGAAAGGUACCACAAUUUCAUUUCCUUUUUCAUCACGAGGGGGAAAAUCCUCUAAUUGAUCGUCAACGGCAUUAGUUGGAUCACAUGUUAACAUGGUUUGUCCGGUUAUCAUCCCUGUCAUGUUAGUGUUCAUAGCGGUAUAAUUUGGUGGUGGAUAUUGCGUAAAAUUUGGCUGAGGAUGAUCCGAAGUUUGGUUUACGGAAUGAGAAUUAGAUUGUGGUCCAUUGGUAGAACCUAUAUUGAAUUGGACGUGUGGGGUUGCUUGCCCCAUCUGUUGAUUAUUGGUAGGUUGUUGUACAUGGUGUGAUUGUACAUUCCUUUGAUCCGACAUCUGUUGAUUAAAAUGUUGGGCUUCACAAAAUUUCUCAUACAUCGGGUUGACUUUUUCAUCCAAUUUUUCGAGUGCAGUCCAUGUUUCUCCGACACAGUCUUUCAACUUUGUGACUCCUUCUACCCCUUGUAUGCAUGUAUUCAUGCAAGUAAACAGGGCAUCUCUGAUUUGGAUUUGUUUUUGAUGAAACGAUAGAAAUUGUUCCCGAAUGUGUCGACACUCAGUAGCCAUAGAGGCUUGCAUGUUUUUGUAACAUUUAUCCAUUUGAGCUGGCUGGUUCACUACAUAGUCAUUCAUGUCAUCACGAGAUUUUGUUAAUUGGAUUUCAAGGUUUUUUAUGCGAUUUUGAAGAUCAGUUAUCGCUUCACGGCGUGCAGUUUCGUUUUCAAUUGCCCAUUUAAUAUGGUCUUUAUGCGCAAC